GUCUCAAAGAUUAAGCCAUGCAAGUCUAAGUAUAAGCAACUAUACUGUGAAACUGCGAACGGCUCAUUAAAUCAGUUAUCGUUUAUUUGAUAGUACCUUACUACAUGGAUAACCGUGGUAAUUCUAGAGCUAAUACAUGCUAAAAGCCCCGACUUCGGGAGGGGUGUAUUUAUUAGAUAAAAAGCCAAUGCCCUCCGGGGCUCCUUGGUGAUUCAUGAUAACUUGACGGAUCGCAUGGCCUUGCGCCGGCGAUGGUUCAUUCAAAUUUCUGCCCUAUCAACUUUCGAUGGUAGGAUCGGGGCCUACCAUGGUAUCAACGGGUAACGGGGAAUUAGGGUUCGAUUCCGGAGAAGGAGCCUGAGAAACGGCUACUACAUCCAAGGAAGGCAGCAGGCGCGCAAAUUACCCAAUCCCGACACGGGGAGGUAGUGACAAUAAAUACUGAUACAGGGCUCUUUUGGGUCUUGUAAUUGGAAUGAGUACAAUUUAAACCUCUUAACGAGGAACAAUUGGAGGGCAAGUCUGGUG
rnacentral:rRNA from 1 species